UUUCCAAAUGUUUUCCUAUGCUUGACUUCUAGUUUCAUAGUGUUAUGGUCAGAAAAAGUGCAUGAUAUCACUUAAAUCGUUUUAUAUUUGUUUUUUUAGGAUGGAAUGUUCUGGACCAGAUGGACUUAACGGAUCUAUUCAUUUUGCAAAUACUGUUUUCUCUGCUGUAUGUCAAGGACUGGGCUAGGUAUUUCCUGGCAUAGUAGGAAAUAGCAUGCCUUAUAAAUCAACAGUAAUACAUAUUCCCUUUACGUUAUGUGAUACUAUGAUAGCCGUAAAUUAGCAUGCAUCAAAGAAUUAUCCUGAGUUAAAAUUCUAUGAUUACAGGAAACAGAUCCAUUUCUGAUUAACAUAACAAACACAAGGGACUUACUGGAAAGAUACUGGAGGUAGGCCACAAAACAGAAGGAAGAACCGAGCAACCAAACUUUCAGAAGGUUUGGAAAAGACAGAAGCAAGAUAGCUCCAGAUUUCUAGCCUUAAGAGCUCACAGGUAUGGUUAUCAAUUAUGUUUCCAUCAGAUUACUUAGAUAGGUUCUAGGUGUAUUCGCUCAGGAGUCAGAUUCUUAGGAGAAAAAAAAAACAAAACUGGGCCACAAUUUAAAAAAAGAAAAAGAAAACAAAAACUGGUCUAGGAUCACAUAUCUACCUCUCUGGUCAAGAUCAAGGAGUAGUCCUGGAGGAAGGUGAGGUAUUAGGAAAGUAUCCUAGGAAUGUAGGAAGACAAAAAGAAUAUAUCUUCUAUAGUAAUGAAAAUAUCUCUCAGGGACUAAGUAUCAUGGAAUAGGCAUCUAACAGGCUAGUCAACUUCUUGAUAAUUAUUAUUUUAGCUAUCUGUUUAUCAGGUAGACGAGCCUAUAAUCCAAGUAAGAUUUCAGUCUCUGUAUCUGAUUCAUUCAUUUGUAAUUUAUAUUCAUUUAUUCAACCAUAGAGGAUAUAUCCUGCCAGAUACUGCUAAGUGACAGGAUUAUAAAGAUGAAUUAAACAUUGUCUCUGCCUUCAGAGAACUUGAUCUUAUAUGAAUAUUGUCAUGGUUGGAUCGUAUGGAGAAAUUGGAGUAAGCUUCAUGGAAGAGUUUAUGCAGGAUGAAACUACCCACUGGACAAACAGUGGGAAAGAGUCUAGAAAUCCAACAGAGGGAAUAACAGAUGAACAGUAAACAAGACAGAAGAGAGAUUUAUAUGUUUAAGAACUACAUGUAAUUUAGAAUUUCAAUAAAUUAAUGUGUCUUUAUGUAUGUGUGUUGGGAGGGUUGGGGCAGAAAAAGUGUUUAGUGAUAAGAUGGGACUGGUAAGCAGAACCCAGAUUGUGAAGAGCUUUGUAUAACAGGAUAGGGGAUUUACAGUUCAUCUUCAUACAGUGGGAAUGCAUGAGGAGUUUGGAGCAAGGAACUGUGAUGAUCAGAUUUCCAUAGAAAAUGAGUAUCUGGUGGCUAUAUACCGACAGAUUGAAUGGAAGAGAAAUUAAAAUCAAAGAAACUUCCUAACUAUUAUAUUGUAAAGUCAAGGAGAAGAGUGAUAAGGCUGGAACACGAGCCAUGACAUUUGGGAAAGGCGAGAAGGAGGCAAGUAAGAACAUAUUUAGGUCCAGGUGACAGGAGCGGGUAAAUGCGGAAGGCCCAGGGAUCUCGAGGAAGAGAAAAGGGAGGAAGAAAAGGAAGCAUCUAGACAACCCACCAUCUCUAGAAUAUCACUGAAGUAGCUAGUGUUGACCGUUUCCCCAAGGCAUUAGUAACUGGAAACAGCUCUGCCCAUCUCAAUCUGUCCUUGGACAGCAUCUUGAGUGACAUGAUAUUACCCUAUUAUGUGAACAAAGACACUGAUUUUAAUUACAUGGAAAUUGAUGUUUACUGCGAGCUUUAUAUGAAGAGUAAUUACUACAUUGAAAAAGAUCCAGAGUAGUUAUUCAUCUUUAUGAGAUUUGAUUUGUGUGUAAAUGCAUCUUAUCUCUAGUCUUCAAUAGUGAGAAUGAAUUUGUCCAUUAGAGUCACAUUUAUAUGUCAUUUUUCCCCCUAGAUUCCUAGUGCAUGUGUGGUUUUUGCCUAUCCACAAAAGUUGACUUCAAGUCUUUGUUUAGCUUACUUCUGUCUCAGUAUAUUACUGCUUAAUUUUUCCCUAAGUAUGCUUGGGCAUACUAUCAGAAUUUUUGCUUCCAUGACUAGAAACAUUGCCUUUCUCAAGGUCAGAGAUUUGUCUUAAUCAAUUUUGCAGAUCUCCCAACAAAGCACAAAGUUUGGCUUGUAGGAAGCAUUCAAAUAAAAGUUGAAGGAAAUAAAUCUAGCUCAAAUAGAUGAUUUGAGACAAAUGAAAUAAUCUGCAUUCCUUUAUCUGAAAAAGAGAUAGUUUGAUUUAUAUCACCAGUGUAUGUAUAUAUCGAGGUUCAAUAUAUAAGGCUAGGAGAUUAAUUGCUCAGAAGAUGAUUAUUGUAGAAAAUUCAAGGGAAAAAAAUCACCCUCUGGUUCUCUGCUGUGAUGUGUCUGCAUAAAACCCUACUCUCCUUGUUUUGCUGAGGUUGCAAGUACCUGAGUGAGUUGCUGCUCCCGCCCUCCUCGAUCUAUGUGGUGUCAAUGCUGUACACAUUGCUCAUUUCCACUGAACAGCCGCUCUUCAGAUGGAGUGUAAUUUCAGAUUUUAAUUAGGAAUUAGAGCAAAGGUCAAUUGGUGUCUCACAGUGUGGGCUGAAAGAGGGGUGUAGAAGAUGAUUACACUUUUGUCUGGUGCCCAUUGCUCAUUUUAAAGGAGAACUUGAAGCUAACAAUGGUGUGAGGCCAGGUGUGUUUGCCCAUCUGCCGUCCCUGACAGCUGAAGCUACUUCAUCAACAUUGAUCGACAUGCUCUGGCAGGGUUCUUGGAUUUUGCAAGGGUAACAGAUUCUAACAGACCCUCCAAGAGCCACACAACCAACCCUGGAAAUUUGGAGUUUACAGCAGAUUUAAUCCAGCAGAGGGCCUACAAGGGGGAAACCUUGUCGACAGGUCUCCAAAGCCAGAAAAUCCUGCAUUACGAGAGGAGUAAAUCCAAUCCAAUACCUUGGAGAAAGAAAAACAGAGAUGGUUGUAGCUAUACCUGCCCUCAAGGAACUGCCUGUGUCUAUGACUUCCUCUCUUUCCGUUAUCUUGACGCGUUAAUCCUGCAAAUGCCAUGUUGCGCGACGAUGCCUUUAAAAAAUGAGUCGUGUUUGCCUUUCAGUUAUUCUACUACACAUAAUUUUUAUUCGAGUAAUUUGUGCAUGUGGCUACGAGUAGUUAUUCCUUGCCCCAUCCGUCCCGCCGUUACCCCAUUCUCAAGAGUCGGCCACUGAUAACAAAUGUCCGGUAAUGCUUUUGUAUCUUUGUAACUUUAAAUAGGCUUUUUCUAUCAUUGUCUGUUUUAUCAAUUUUAGACUUCAUGUAAAUGUGCUUUCUUUACAAUAAAAGUGAUAUGAGAUAUUCAUUCAGUGGUUCCACUCCCUCCUUUCCUGGUUACUUCCAGAGGCAUACCAGACCUUAAUUUUUUAUUUCUUCAACUGUAGGCAUUGUCCUUCAUCGGCCGUCUUGCAGGACGGAGGUAUUAGUGACUGUCCUUGCCUUUAGUUCUUCUCCACUCCUUCCUUUUCCCAACUAACUUCUAUACUUUCUCAUUUGCAUUGUCAAAAUUGGUAACAUUUAUGGUCUACUCUGUUACCAAAAUUUAAUCUUCCAUGGGUUGCCUAUAGGUUGAGUCUAAAAACUGAAAGGCAAUAAAAUGUUGUCAUUAUUGUGACUUUUGGAAAAGUAUGACUGAUACAAUAUUACACUAUGAUUACAUCUUUCCCAGUAUAGAUUUUUUUCCCCCAGUGAAGUUUCGAAAGCUGCCUUUUCUAUUGAACUAUCUACCUUUAGAAUAGUCUUGGUGACUUCUAUACAUAAUACCAGCUGUGGUAUUCUGUGCAGCUUUUUCCUGGAGUCUGUCCUGCCAUCUCAGGCAAGACCUCCUAGCCAUCUUUUCCGAUUUGAACUGCCUCCGGGGCAGAUGCACAGCUGUCAUCCUGGGACUUCUCUUCACCUUCUUGGUUUGUCCUUGUGUUUUACUGGAAUAUAUCCUCAAGAAAUUUUUAAAGAAAUGGUGUGGGGGAGAUAAAUUUUCUAAGUCGCUGCAUGUCUGAAAAUGGAUUUAGUCUAGAUCACAUUUGAUUUGUAGUUGGGGCAUUUGGAAUUCUAGGUUCAAAAUUAUUUUUUCAUUAGGACUUUAACAAUAUUAU